CACCCAGCCCCAAAGAGAAUAUAUUAAAAGUUUUAACAGCUUAAAAGUCUCUUUCAACUUCUCUCUGUGUCAUUAAGAAAACACACGAGAAAUUCCCAUAUGGAAAGUAUGGAUUUUUCUUUCCCCUAAUCAGAUAAAGUAGCUUCUUAUCUCUCCUGUUCUUUGUGCAGGAGUGAACUGGACUAACCACAGGCUGCUGUCUGUUUCAGUGCAUUCUGGUCCAUUUCAUACUGCCGAUUAAUUGCCUGUGCUCAAAGACGGAGUUCAUGAGUUGUUGCAGGGGAAGAUGAUAGUGGGCCCUUUUUGGCAACACCUGGAGACCAGUCACACCUGGAGA
rnacentral:lncRNA from 12 species